rnacentral:rRNA from 1 species
GACGAACGCUGGCGGCGUGCUUAACACAUGCAAGUCGAACGAAGAGCGAUGGAAGCUUGCUUCUAUCAAUCUUAGUGGCGCACGGGUGAGUAACGCGUAAUCAACCUGCCCUUCAGAGGGGGACAACAGUUGGAAACGACUGCUAAUACCGCAUACGAUCUAAUCUCGGCAUCGAGGAUAGAUGAAAGGUGGCCUCUACAUGUAAGCUAUCACUGAAGGAGGGGAUUGCGUCUGAUUAGCUAGUUGGAGGGGUAACGGCCCACCAAGGCGAUGAUCAGUAGCCGGUCUGAGAGGAUGAACGGCCACAUUGGGACUGAGACACGGCCCAGACUCCUACGGGAGGCAGCAGUGGGGAAUCUUCCGCAAUGGACGAAAGUCUGACGGAGCAACGCCGCGUGAAUGAUGACGGCCUUCGGGUUGUAAAGCUCUGUUAAUCGGGACGAAAGGCCUUCUUGCGAAUAGUGAGAAGGAUUGACGGUACCGGAAGAGAAAGCCACGGCUAACUACGUG